UAACGAGGAUUCCUCUAGUAACGGCGAGUGAACGAGGAAAAGCCCAGCGCUGAAUCCCAUGGCCACCGGCUAUUUGGGAGGUGUAGCGUAUACGUGUUUUCCUACUGAUUGCCUUGUUCACCCAAAGUCUCCUUGAGCGGGGCUACAGUCCAAAGAGGGUGCUAGACCUGUGCGGGUGGCUGGACAUUUGGUGUUGCGAACACACGUUGGAGUCGGGUUGCCUGAGAUCGCAGCCCAAAUUUGGUGGUAAACUCCAUCUAAGGCUAAAUAUUGCCACGAGACCAAUAGCAAACAAGUACCGUGAGGGAAAGUUGCAAAGAACUUUGAAGAGAGAGUUCAAGAGGGCGUGAAACCACUGAGAUUGAAACGGAUAGAGUUGACGAAACCGUUUAGCAUUCAGCCAAUUGGCAUAACCGUUUUGCGUUUUCGAUCUUUUUUUCUUUUGAAAAAAAGAAGAAAGGCGGAUAUGUGACAACGUGCUACGCUGGUUGGUGUAUUUGCUAUCGGUAUGCGCUGAAGGUUUUGUUUGCGCGCGUUGACCGUCGUGUAGUGGACCGUGCUCUUUGAGCGUGGAACCCUGCGUGAUGUGAAGCACGUUGUUAAUAAAAUCACUAUGCCAUUUACACGUAUUUUGUCUAGUGUUUUUCCAAAAUUAGCAGUGCGUAGUUCGUCGCUUGCGACAUAGCUGUGCAUGCUGCAAAUUUUGGGGCACAUGAACAAGU
rnacentral:rRNA from 1 species